UACAGAGGUCUCAAGCGUUGUUCGGAUUCAUUGGGCGUAAAGGGCGCGUAGGCGGCGAGGUAAGUCGGGUGUGAAAUCUCAGAGCUCAACUCUGAAACUGCACUCGAUACUGCUUUGCUAGAGGACUGGAGAGGAGAUUGGAAUUCACGGUGUAGCAGUGAAAUGCGUAGAGAUCGUGAGGAAGACCGUGGCGAAGGCGGAUCUCUGGACA
rnacentral:rRNA from 1 species